AUGAACUCUUUCACAAACAUCACAAAUGCACUUUACAUUCUUCAGAGGUGCACCAACCUUACCACACUACUUAUGGGAAGCAGCUACAGGGGAGAGUUAAUGCCAGAGGAUGACUUCAUUGAUGGUUUUGAGAAUCUCCAGGUACUUUCCUUAAAUGAUUGCUCGUUUCUAGGUAAAAUACCUCUUUGGAUAUCCAAGCUAGCAAAAUUAGAGAUGUUGAUAUUAUCUAGAAAUCAACUCACCGGAUCAACACCAGCCUGGAUCGAAGGCCUAAAGCACCUCUUCUAUCUAGACAUAUCAAACAACAGCCUCACUAGAAAAAUUCCAGGAAACCUGAUGGAUAUGCAAAUAUUCAAGUCAGAGAAGACUAAAGCCCGUUUAGACCCAAGGGUCUUCGAACUACCAGUUUAUAGGGGUCCAUCACUUUAG
rnacentral:rRNA from 1 species